rnacentral:lncRNA from 13 species
AGCAAAACCAUUCAUAUGUCGACUGUAAGUCGACUUUUCUAAGUCAGGCUUUCAGAGUUGACUGCAAGUCGACUUUGCAUAGACGUCUGCAGACGUCUUUCAAAAGUUGACUUUAAGACGUCUAGAAAAAGACAUUUUGAAAUCGACUCGACUGAGCGCCACUGUAGUGAGCGAGCACCGCUGUCACCGCUGCUGCAUGUAGCGCCAAGCGAGAGUCAUCAAGUUUCUUGCAAGAGUCAAUCCGCGUUGUUGUAAUCCUACCCGUCUGUCGGGUCUUGUGCUUAUUGAAUAAAGACUAUUAGCUGCAGCCGUUCGGACAUACAAAAUUCUCUUGUACUCUCCGCUAUUUUUUAUUAUCCAUCGGAGCGUGUGCAGCCAUACCGGUCAUAUGCGAUUGCCAUUGUGAGCCGUUGUUGAGGGACAGACGAGUCGUGAAGUAGGACUAUAUUUUGAGAUCAGUGGUGCCGAAGCAGUUAAAAACACUGGAGAUAUGUGUAUCGAGAUUUCUCUGCCAAAGCAUUUCCAAUCCAUGGUAUUUAUGUCGGUGUCGAGGUUGAGUGGCACGAAAACUGGCAGAGUCAUAAAGAACUUUACGUGACGGAGAAAAGAAGCUACAACUGAACAUAUUUACUACAA